ACGAACGCUGGCGGCGUGCCUAAUACAUGCAAGUCGAACGCUUCUUUCCUCCCGAGUGCUUGCACUCAAUUGGAAAGAGGAGUGGCGGACGGGUGAGUAACACGUGGGUAACCUACCCAUCAGAGGGGGAUAACACUUGGAAACAGGUGCUAAUACCGCAUAACAGUUUAUGCCGCAUGGCAUAAGAGUGAAAGGCGCUUUCGGGUGUCGCUGAUGGAUGGACCCGCGGUGCAUUAGCUAGUUGGUGAGGUAACGGCUCACCAAGGCCACGAUGCAUAGCCGACCUGAGAGGGUGAUCGGCCACACUGGGACUGAGACACGGCCCAGACUCCUACGGGAGGCAGCAGUAGGGAAUCUUCGGCAAUGGACGAAAGUCUGACCGAGCAACGCCGCGUGAGUGAAGAAGGUUUUCGGAUCGUAAAACUCUGUUGUUAGAGAAGAACAAGGACGUUAGUAACUGAACGUCCCCUGACGGUAUCUAACCAGAAAGCCGCGGCUAACUACGUG
rnacentral:rRNA from 1 species